AGCGGAGUGGAGCAGAUGGUCAGCUUGCAAGUUUCAUAAGCUUGAGGUCGCAGGUUCGAGUCCUGCCUCCGCGA
rnacentral:tRNA from 1 species